GAUGAACGCUGGCGGCGUGCAUAACACAUUCAAGUCGAACGGACGUAAUGCCUUCGGGCAUUAUGUCAGUGGCGGACGGGUGAGUAACGCGUGAAUAACCUGCCUGUGUGUGGGGGAUAACAGCCGGAAACAGCUGCUAAUACCGCAUAACGUAUACGUUUCGCAUGUGAUGUAUACCAAAGAUUUAUUGCGCACAGAUGGAUUCGCGUCCGAUUAGAUAGUUGGUGGGGUAACGGCCUACCAAGUCGACGAUCGGUAGCCGGACUGAGAGGUCGACCGGCCACAUUGGAACUGAGAAACGGUCCAGACUCCUACGGGAGGCAGCAGUGGGGAAUAUUGGGCAAUGGACGGAAGUCUGACCCAGCGACGCCGCGUGAGGGAAGAAGGUCUUCGGAUUGUAAACCUUAGUCAACAGGGAAGAAGCAAGUGACGGUACCUGUGGAGGAAGCCACGGCUAACUACGUG
rnacentral:rRNA from 1 species